rnacentral:lncRNA from 1 species
UUUUUUAUCUUUUCCCAAGAAAAAAUGGUAAAAUAAAUUAAUGAAACGACUAAAGUGAUUGCGUUUCAGUCCAAGUUCCCUUUAUUUAAGAGAACGAGAUUGCUUGUAAGAGAUAGGGUUCUCAUUUCAGUAUUGAGUUAGUUUAACUUCUGGUCUUUCCUUUUUCUUUUUUCCUUUUUAUCUAUUUGGAGAAGGUACUACCUUAUAGAUACCUUCUAGAUCUCAAUGUCCGUAUAUAUUUAUAUACACAGUUCUCUUCCAUCGUCAUCAAAAUCUUGUCAUGGAUCUGAUCUGAAACUUGAGAUCUAGUCUCUAGAUUUUUUUGCAGCUAAUUAUUUUCUUUUUCCUAUUUUUGUUAACGACUCAUAAGCUUCUAAGUUCCUCAUAUGGAACUUUUUUGUACUAGAUUCAAUUGUUUACAUCUACUUCAUAUAUAAUUUUAUUUUACUUUGAAAAUUAAUUGAAUUUUUUUUCUAUGAAGGUGAACCUUUGAUGCUAGGGUUUUAAGGGGUGGAGCUCCUUUUAGUCCAAAUAUGGAUGUUGCUAUGUUGAUAGAGCUGCUUAGCUAUGGAUCCCUCAAUUCUACCCAUCUUGUUCUUUGUGGUAGUUUUGUGGCUUCCAUAUCUAGGGAGCCUUAUCACCUUUAGUUUAAUCUUUCUUUGGAUUGAAGGGAGCUCUACAUCUUGCUCUCUUUACUUUAAUUUUACAUUUAUUAAUAUUUCAAGCCCUAGUUAUUUAUCUCAUCUUAAUUCUAUUGAUUUAUUCAAUUUGUUCAAAAUUUAGGGCUUAAAUUCUUUAAAGUGUUAUCUUUAGUUUAAUCUACCCUAGAUCUGUGAAAUCUUUGAAGUUGAGGUGAUAUUUUAAUUUUAUUAUUUACUUUUUUAUUUUAGUUUAAGUAGAUUUGUGAAAUAUUUCUCUUUUUUGGUUUAUUAAUUUACUUUAUCCAGAUCUAGUUUUUCAAAUAACUGUUCAACCCUAGAUCUGUGAAAUCUUUGAUGGUUUGAGUUUUUCAUUAUCAUCUUUUGUUGAAAUAUAUUUAUUAUUAUUAUUCUUGGUGACCAAAAAUUGUUACAAUAAUAUUUUACUAAUAUUUGUUCCACGUUCAGAUGGAUCUGUACUUGGAACUCUUAACAAUUUGUUGACUUUUCGGUUUUUUUUUAGCUUGCAGUCCUUCUAGUUGAUCGAACUCUUCUCAACAUAGAACAGAUCUUGCCUGAAAAAGAUGUGUUUUUAAGUGUACUUGGAUUGACCAAUGACUGAUCUUGCAACAAGUGAAGAUACAAUUGAAAUUCAACCACUUGUGGUGUCUGGUAUGGCUAAUGCCAGAUAAGAUUCUUUGACAUGUAAAGAUAGAUGUCAUAUUGUUGUCAAAAAUCAAAAUAGAUUGAUGAUGUUGUAAUGUAUCUGCUUACCUCAUGUUUUUUUUUGUUUAUUGAGAACGAUGUGUAGUUAUGUUUGUAGACAAACUUGGAAGUUGCAAAGUAAUUUUUUUGGUCAUCAAUGCAUCUGAACUUUGGAAGUUUGCAAAGUACUUACUUUUAUUGAAUGUGUGAUUAAAGUUGUAGUUUUGAUGGUAAUGGAGUAAUUAAUAUUUAAAUUUUCUCAUGAAUAAAUCCGGUUCUUAAACUCUGGACUAAGGUGCCAAAUAUUACAUGAAUUGUGUAAAGAUUAAUAAGGAACAAAACGCGGCCGACUGCCAAAAAUUUAGAUUGAGAAAUAGGGCAGCCGCCUAGAUGAGAGAAUCUCUAUGAUGUGGACUUGAGCUAUACACAUACAAUGCCAUAGGAGCAAGGAUCGAUGUCUGGUUGCUUAGAUAAGAAUAAAAUAAGCAAGGGUGUUUUCACAUCUAUGUGAACAAGUGUGUGGAUAAAAAGGUUUGUUGACGGAGCAGUGAUAUAUGUAGAAUCAUUUGGGACAAUUUUGAUGGCAAUAUAGAGAAAGGAAGAGAGAGAAUAAGAAUAUAAUGUGAAUAGUGAUAUAUGUAGAAUCAUUUGGGACAAUUUUGAUGACAAUACAAUGAAAGGAAGAGAGAGAAUAAGAAUAUAAUGUGAGUAUGAGAGAGAAAGUUGUUAAAAAAUUGUAAUAAAGUGAUUGUACAAAUAUUAUUUCUUCUUUUCAAAGA